UCCGAUGUGGUCUAGUGGUUAGUUGCCUGCUACCUCCGAGGAGGCCGGGGUUCAAUUCCCCGCAUCGGAA